rnacentral:snoRNA from 1 species
AUGCUUUUGUAGUUUAUAAGCGUGAUGAUUGGGUGUUCACGCCAUUGUGUGACAUGUGCCACCCUUAAACCUUGUUAUGACACCGGCACAUUACCUGUCUGACA